GUGGGGAAUAUUGCACAAUGGGCGCAAGCCUGAUGCAGCCAUGCCGCGUGUAUGAAGAAGGCCUUCGGGUUGUAAAGUACUUUCAGCGGGGAGGAAGGCGAUAAGUUUAAUAACCUUGUCGAUUGACGUUACCCGCAGAAGAAGCACCGGCUAACUCCGUGCCAGCAGCCGCGGUAAUACGGAGGGUGCAAGCGUUAAUCGGACUUACUGGGCGUAAUGCGCACGCAGGCGGUCUGUCAAGUCGGAUGUGAAAUCCCCGGGCUCAACCUGGGAACUGCAUUCGAAACUGGCAGGCUAGAGUCUUGUAGAGGGGGGUAGAAUUCCAGGUGUAGCGGUGAAAUGCGUAGAGAUCUGGAGGAAUACCGGUGGCGAAGGCGGCCCCCUGGACAAAGACUGACGCUCAGGUGCGAAAGCGUGGGGAGCAAACAGGAUUAGAUACCCCGGUAGUCC
rnacentral:rRNA from 1 species